AGCUCGUACCCCAAACCGACACAGGUGGGUGAGGAGAGUAUCCUAAGGUGCUCGAGUAAAUCAUGGCUAAGGAACUAGGCAAAUUAGAUCCGUAACUUCGGGAGAAGGAUCCCCUGACUCUGUCAGGGCGCAGUGAAAAGGCCCAAGCGACUGUUUACCAAAAACAUAGGUUUCUGCUAAGUCGCAAGACGAUGUAUAGGAGCUGACGCCUGCCCGGUGCUGGAAGGUUAAGGAAGGGGGUUAGACUUCGGUCGAAGCUCUUAACUGAAGCCCCAGUAAACGGCGGCCGUAACUAUAACGGUCCUAAGGUAGCGA
rnacentral:rRNA from 11 species